GAGUUUGAUCAUGGCUCAGGAUGAACGCUGGCGGCGUGCUUAACACAUGCAAGUCGAACGAAGCGGGAAGAGAGAAGUUUUUCGAAAUGGAUUUUUUCUUUGCUUAGUGGCGGACGGGUGCGUAACACGUAGGUAACCUGCCCUGUUCAUUGGAAUAACUUCGGGAAACCGGUGCUAAUGCCAAAUAACAUCGCCUGUCGGCAUCGACGGGCGAUCAAAGAAUUUCGGAACAGGAUGGGCCUGCGCCGGAUUAGCUGGUUGGUGAGGUAAUGGCUCACCAAGGCGACGAUCCGUAGCCGACCUGAGAGGGUGAUCGGCCACACUGGAACUGAGACACGGUCCAGACUCCUACGGGAGGCAGCAGUGGGGAAUAUUGCACAAUGGGCGCAAGCCUGAUGCAGCAACGCCGCGUGAGCGAUGAAGGCUUUCGAGUCGUAAAGCUCUGUCCUAUGGGAAGAUGAUGACGUACCAUAGGAGGAGCCCC
rnacentral:rRNA from 1 species